UGGGGGAUAUUGCACAAUGGGCGAAAGCCUGAUGCAGCGACGCCGCGUGGGGGAUGAAGGCUUUCGGGUUGUAAACCUCUUUCGCUAUCGAACAAGGCCCGCUUAGGGUGGGUUGAGGGUAGGUGGAGAAGAAGCGCCGGCUAACUACGUGCCAGCAGCCGCGGUAAUACGUAGGGCGCGAGCGUUGUCCGGAAUUAUUGGGCGUAAAGGGCUUGUAGGCGGCUUGUUGCGCCUGCUGUGAAAACGCGGGGCUUAACUUCGCGCGUGCAGUGGGUACGGGCAGGCUUGAGUGUGGUAGGGGUGACUGGAAUUCCAGGUGUAGCGGUGGAAUGCGCAGAUAUCUGGAGGAAGACCGAUGGCGAAGGAAGGUCACUGGGCCAUUACUGACGCUGAGGAGCGAAAGCAUGGGUAGCGAACAGG
rnacentral:rRNA from 1 species